UCCACAGUGGAAUGUAUGAGUGGCAUGGAGUCUGCCAGCAGAUUCAAAGCAGAGGUAAGUGACUGAUGGCAUAUGAGAUUGCUCUCAAGUGUCAGAGCAAUUGCAGAACUGCCAAGCACAUCACAACUUGUGUCUGCACAAUGUAGGGAAGUGUCAAGAGAGACAAUCACCAGAGACAUCAAAGUAAUUUCAAGAAAGAAACAAGCAGGAAGCAGAAGGCACUGUGAAGGCUUGUACCAAGGAACAGAAGAAGGAACCUUGCAAUGGACAUCUAAAUCACUGCUGAAUUGGAUCCCCAGUGCAGUGCCUGCAGGGCCAGCCCUGGCUGGUGCCAGCACCCAGCACAGUGGUAACCAACCUGAUGUCAGAGGGGAGCAGUACAGGCAGCAUCAGAGGAGAACUGAUCAGCACCUGACAGGAUGUGACCAUGGGGCUGCAGGCUCCUGUUGCGAACAGGGAUUAGUUUUUAACUUGUUUCUUGUUCUGUAUCAAACGCUCACUUGGCAUUAAGAAACGAUAAGAAUAUACCUGAAAUCUAGUGGCAGAGUUCAACCUUUAACAUUAUAGAAGACUGUAAAAUAUUGAACAAUAGUGCUGCCGGGAAGGCAAAACAGCUGCAAGACAGGAAGCUUCCAGGUUGUGCCUUCUGCUUCGAAUAACAGGGACUUUUCAUCAUCCUGCUGCCUCCAGAAGAUUCACAGGAGGGAAUGUGCAUUUCCCUAAAUAAGAGAAACAACCCUUAAGUGGGGAAAGAAAAAAGGACCUCUCUAAGGGCUAUUUCCAUGGUAACUUGUAAAUUCAAAGCUCAAGCUGUUUUGGCUGCAGGGAUACUCAGUAUAGGUAACAAGACUGUUUGUUAAUAACGGGAAACCAUCAUCACUGUCCUCCCAUGCAGAACAGGCUGGAUUGAUUUUGUUUAAAACUUCCCCAAAACUGGCACAGAAAAAGGAUGAACCAACAGAACAGAAGGGACUAGAACAGGGACUUACUCACAAUUUAGCCUUGUAGCUCACAACCAGCAUCCCAAUAUAUCCCUGUAGCUCUUUUUAACCUGUCCAAAUUGAAAGUGGGUUACCAAGUUCUGUAAGCACAUACAAUAUUUUAUACAUAAGUACAUUCAUCUACCCCUGCAGCAGUGAAGUGGACAUGACAGCACAGAACAGUCUGUGGCAAAAAUGAACAUGAGAAACAAAUACCCCUUGCAACACACACACACAUAUACAGACCCUGAAUAGGAACUCACAAGAGUUUAUCCUGCUAAGUGAGGCAGUGAGGACAAAUACUAAUGUUGUUAAAGGCAGUGUAUGUGCAGAGAGAGAUCAGGUGAGGGCAGCCAUCCUGAACAACCUAAGGAAUUCCUUAGCAUUUGAAUACCUGCCUUAGCAGGUGGGUUUGUACUCUCUUAACUUGGAAGACGGGAGGAAAUAAUUGCAGCCCCUUAUCUUUACUAAGAUACAUUUUAUUAUGAUGAACUGCACAAAGUGCUAAGCUCAAAGCCUGUCUGAUGCUGUUUUUCCUAUAACAACCAACAAUAAAAGUUAGAUUUUAGUCUGG